ACGACCCUUCGGGGAGCCUAGUACAGGUGUUGCAUGGCUGUCGUCAGCUCGUGUCGUGAGAUGUUCGGUUAAGUCCGCUAACGAGCGCAACCCUCGUCGUAUGUUAUAUGUAUCAUACGAGACUGCCGGUAAAAGCCGGAGGAAGGUGAGGAUGAUGUCAAGUCAGCAUGACCUUUAUAUCCAGGGCUACACACACGCUACAAUGGUCUGUACAAUGGGUAGCCAAGCCGCGAGGCGGAGCCAAUCCUGAAAGCAGGCCUCAGUUCAGAUUGCAGUCUGCAACUCGACUGCAUGAAGCCGGAGUUGCUAGUAACCGCAGGUCAGCAAUACUGCGGUGAAUACGUUCCCGGGCCUU
rnacentral:rRNA from 1 species